CGUGUGUAUGGGGUUUCUCGGUUCUUCACUUUACUCGUGCUUUUGCCAUUACUCACUUUUUCACAUUUCUUCUCCUUCUCUUUCAUAUUACAUUCAAGAAGAAAUGUCUGCUUCCCUCACAUUUCUCUCUUUAAGUUGAUCAAAUCACAGUGUUGUGUAGUUCGUCGAUGACGCUGCCGUUGAAUUCGAUGGAGUUAACGACAGUGAUAGAUAUUGGUAUAGUUCCAUAUUUGAUUUUGGUGCCAUUUUUACUUUCACCAUUAAAGCAAAGGCUUGAUUUUUUAAGAUUGAUAUUCAAGUUGAUUCAACCGUGUUUCAAGUCAUCCUGUUCUUCAAUCAUGUCUACCGAUCUUCAGUGAUGUAUCGUUGCAUGUUUGGACACUAUUUCGUAGCUCAUGAGGACUUUGAUCAAAGAUGAGGAAAGUUCGAGGGUCGUUUGAUUGAGUAUUCAAGGUGUUUAAAUGUCCUAUGUAUAAUCUCGGGCUAGAAUAUGAAAGCUUCAGUCGAAUCGAAGUUAAAUACAAGCUGCUGGGUUGUUAUGAUAACGUCUCGAGUGAGACUCCCUUAACUUCAGUCGAAGCUUGGCUGUACAAAAUGUUCUGGUACCUUCUUUGAGCUGAUUUCGGUCGAGACCAACACACUUCGGUCGAUAGUCGAGACGAACUAACUUUGACCAAGACGGAUGCAAUUCGGUCGAAACUGCUGCUACACCUAAGUCUCUGAUGUUGGCUGAAUGAAGCUUCGGCCAAACUCAUCUCAGCUUCGACGGAAUUUAUGACCUGCUACCUUCUGUUUUUCUCUUCAAUUCUCCCACUUGCAAUAUAUAAAGAAAGUCAAUUUUCAGUUUUUGGAGGGAGGAGGUUACCAUUUUGUUAAGCAUUAUCAUUUUAGUGGAGGUUAUUAGAUUUAUUUUAGUUUUCAUUUAGAUAGUUUAAUUGGGUAGUUAGUGGAAGUUAGUCAUUAUGAUUUUAAUUAGAUUAGCUAGGAAUUAGGAUUUAGCAUUUUGAAUUUAGGAAGUUUGGCAGCAAACGUUUUUCUUUUCUUUAGUUUUUAGAACCUUAGAUCUUUAGAUUUUUCAUGCUUUUAUUUUUUUUUCUUAAUUAAACUUUAAUCUCUUUUUAAUUUUAAUUAGUACCUUGAUGUGAUUCGAAG